rnacentral:rRNA from 1 species
GGAUUUAAUCUCGGUGUUGUAGUUAACACAUUAAAACACCCUGCCUGGGUAGUACAUUCGCAAGAAUGAAACUCAAACGGAAUUGACGGGGACCCGCACAAGUGGUGGAGCAUGUUGUUUAAUUCGACGAUACACGUAGAACCUUACCUAGACUUGACAUCCUUGGCGAAGUUAUAGAAAUAUAAUGGAGGUUAACCGAGAGACAGGUGGUGCAUGGUUGUCGUCAGCUCGUGUCGUGAGAUGUUGGGUUAAGUCCCGCAACGAGCGCAACCCUUAUCGUUAGUUAUUUUGUCUAACGAGACUGCCAACGCAAGUUGGAGGAAGGUGGGGAUGACGUCAAAUCAUCAUGCCCCUUAUGUCUAGGGCCACAAACGUGCUACAAUGGUCGGUACAAACAGUCGCUAAUUCGUAAGAUAGAGCUAAUCUGU